UGCCAGCCGCCGCGGUAAUACGGAGGGUGCAAGCGUUAAUCGGAGUUACUGGGCGUAAAGCGCGCGUAGGUGGUCUGUUAAGUCGGAUGUGAAAGCCCUGGGCUCAACCUGGGAACUGCAUCCGAUACUGGCAGACUAGAGUGCGGGAGAGGGAGGUAGAAUUUCAUGUGUAGCGGUGAAAUGCGUAGAGAUGUGGAGGAAUACCAGUGGCGAAGGCGGCCCCCUGGAUCGAUACUGACGCUGAGGUGCGAAAGCGUGGGGAGCAAACAGGAUUAGAUA
rnacentral:rRNA from 1 species